AUGUCGUCUUACACCCCCCGUGAGAAUGCCACGACAUUUGGCGCCCACCGUGGUGUGGUACUACUACUAUGCUACCACGCUGCUGCUGGUUUCGCUGUCCGGGCGGGACCAUCCUCGUCUUCUCCGCCGCUGCAUCGCGCCGUCUCUCCGGUAGCGCUCGGGGGCUCGACUUCGACCCGCCCCCGGAGCGGCCGUGCGGGCUUCACCACCACCGCAACGCCGACCAUCCGUCCGCGUGCGUGCCGCGCGCGGGGCCUCGUUUCGGUCGGCCGUGGCAAUCCACGCGCUGCUCGUGUUUGCUCCUCUCCGUGCUACGCCUUGCUCUGGCCGGAACGCGCAUUAGCUUCUCCACAUGCCAUCUUUGCUAGCUAG
rnacentral:rRNA from 1 species